rnacentral:rRNA from 1 species
GGUAACUAGGUGCCAGCAGGCGGGGUAAUACGGUGGCAGCAAGGGUUGGUCGGAAUUACUGGGCGUAAAGAGUGUGUAGGCGGUGUUCUAAGUCUGGUGUGAAAUCUCCCGGCUCAACUGGGAGGGUGCGCCGGAAACUGGAAUGCUCGAGUAUGGGAGAGGUAAGCGGAAUUCCUGGUGUAGCGGUGAAAUGCGUAGAUAUCAGGAGGAACACCUGUGGUGUAGACAGCUUACUGGACCAUCACUGACGCUGAGACACGAAAGCGUGGGUAGCAAACAGGAUUAGAUACCCCAGUAGUC